rnacentral:rRNA from 1 species
AACACGGACCAAGGAGACCAACGUGUGCGCGAGUCUCUGGGUUAUCAAACCCAAAGGCGCAAUCAAGGUGAAGGGGAAUACCUCUUCCCCCAGGGAGGACGUGGGCUUGCUCUUCUCGGGCGGCCCUCCGCACUCCCGGGGCGUCUCGCGCUCAUUGCGAGUGGAGGCGCACCUAGAGCGUUCACGUUGGGACCCGAAAGAUGGUGAACUAUGCCUGGCCAGGACGAAGCCAGGGGAAACCCUGGUGGAGGUCCGUAGCGGUUCUGACGUGCAAAUCGAUCGUCGGAGCCGGGUAUAGGGGCGAAAGACUAAUCGAACCAUCUAGUAGCUGGUUCCCUCCGAAGUUUCCCUCAGGAUAGCUGUCGCCCAAGUGAGACGAGUCUCAACCGGUAAAGCGAAUGAUUAGAGGCCUUGGGGUCGAAACGACCUCAACCUAUUCUCAAACUUUAAAUGGAUGAGAACCCCGACUUGCUUGACUUGUUGAGUGAAGUCGGGGCUCGGAUCCGGGUGACAAGUGGGCCAUUUUUGGUAAGCAGAACUGGCGCUGUGGGAUGAACCAAACGCGGAGUUAAGGCGCCCAAAUCGACGCUCAUCAGACACCAUGAAAGGCGUUGGUUGCUUAAGACAGCAGGACGGUGGCCAUGGAAGUCGGAAUCCGCUAAGGAGUGUGUAACAACUCACCUGCCGAAGCAACUAGCCCUGAAAAUGGAUGGCGCUGUAGCGUCGUGCCUAUACUCCGCCGCCAACGGCAAGAUAGGCACCGUCGACCCCGCGAGGGAUCCUCGGAGCCCGUUAAGCCUUGGUGAGUAGGAGGGCCGCGGCGAUGUGCGCAGAAGGGUCAGGGCGCGAGCCCGCCUGGAGCCGUCGCCGGCGCAGAUCUUGGUGGUAGUAGCAAAUACUCCAGCGAGGCCCUGGAGGACUGAUGCGGAGAAGGGUUUCUUGUGAACAGCCGUUGCACAAGAGUCAGUCGGUCCUAAGCCCUAGGAGAAAUCCGAUGCCGAUGGGCGCCAUUAAAUAAACUUCGCGCCGGCGGAAGCCGGCCUGCUAGUAGCGCCGGACGGCGGGGUACCAUGCCCGCUCAGUCCGCCGCGAACACAGGCGCGGGCGACCGUUUCGGUCUUGUAAGUUGAAAAGUGGCGCUUUAGGUCGGGCGAAGGGGAAUCCGGUCUCUAUUCCGGAACCUGACCAGCGGAACCGUUCCAAGUCGGGCCCUCGGACGAGGACUCGUCGGGGUAACCAAAAAGGACCCGGAGACGCCGUCGGGAGAUCCAGGGAGAGUUGUCUCUUCUCUAUAAGCGUUCGAGUUCCCUGAAAACCUCUCGCAGAGAGAUAGGGUUUGGAGCGCGAAGAGCACCGCAGUUACGGCGGUGUCUGGAUCUUCCCCUCGGACCUUGAAAAUCCGGGUGAGGGCUACGAGGAACACCGCGCCAGACCGUACCCAUAUCCGCAGCAGGUCUCCAAGGUGAACAGCCUCUAGUCGUUAGUAUAAUGUGAGUAAGGGAAGUCGGCAAACUGGAUCCGUAACCUUGGGAUAAGGAUUGGCUCUGAGGAACGUGGUGAGCCGGGCUUGGUUGGGAAGUGGAGCGGUGUCAACGAUCCGGGCCUGGGCGUUGGAGAGUAUUACACGAUCCUCCGCUCGGUCCCGCGACUUGGCCACCCACGGACCUUCCUUGCUGCGAGCUGCAGGCCGCCUAGCCACCGGUCUCGACCGGAGGGCGGGCCUGCUGUCUCUUCGGCCACCGAUUAACGUUCGGCUCAGAACUGGCACUGACCAGGGGAAUCCGACUGUCUAAUUAAAACAAAGCAUUGCGAUGGCCCCAGCGGGUGUUGACGCAAUGUGAUUUCUGCCCAGUGCUCUGAAUGUCAACGUGAAGAAAUUCAAUAAAGCGCGGGUAAACGGCGGGAGUAACUAUGACUCUCUUAAGGUAGCCAAAUGCCUCGUCAUCUAAUUAGUGACGCGCAUGAAUGGAUUAACGAGAUUCCCGCUGUCCCUACUUACUAUCUAGCGAAACCACAGCCAAGGGAACGGGCUUGGAAAAAUCAGUGGGGAAAGAAGACCCUGUUGAGCUUGACUCUAGUCUGGAACUGUAAGGAGACAUGAGAGGUGUAGCAUAAGUGGGAGGUGUUGCUCGUCUUCACCGACAGUGAAAUACCACUACUUUCAUAGUUUCCUUACUUACUCGGUGAGGCGGAGGGCGUCCGUCGCUGGCCUCCCGGCCACGGCGAGACGGUCUUCUUGCGCCAAGCGCGGGGGUUGGCGCCUGCCUCCUGUAGCGUCGGUUUCCCGGCUGGUCGCGAGAGCCUUGCAGGUUCUAACGGCCCGAGUGGAAAUCCGGCGCGAUCCAGGAGCGUUUGGUUAGCCAACGUACUCCUCGGCGUGAUCCGAUCCGAGGACACUUCCAGGUCGAUAGUUUGACUGGGGCGGUACAUCUGUCAAACAAUAACGCAGGUGUCCUAAGGCCAGCUCAGCGAGGACAGAAACCUCGCGUAGAGCAAAAGGGCAAAAGCUGGCUUGAUCCCGAUGCUCAGUACGCAUAGGGACUGCGAAAGCACGGCCUAUCGAUCCUUUUGGCUUGGAGAGUUUCCAGCAAGAGGUGUCAGAAAAGUUACCACAGGGAUAACUGGCUCGUGGCGGCCAAGCGUUCAUAGCGACGUCGCUUUUUGAUCCUUCGAUGUCGGCUCUUCCUAUCAUUGCGGAGCAGAAUCCGCCAAGCGUCGGAUUGUUCACCCGCCAAUAGGGAACGUGAGCUGGGUUUAGACCGUCGUGAGACAGGUUAGUUUUACCCUUCUGAUGACUAAAACUUUUCAUUGCAACGGUAAUCCUGCUCAGUACGAGAGGAACCGCAGAUUCGGACAUUUGGUUAUGCACUCGGUCGACAGGCCGGUGGUGCCAGGCUAUCAUCCGCGGGAUUAUGCCUGAACGCCUCUAAGGCCGAAUCCCGCCUGAUAGCCCUGACACUUUUAGGGGUCCCAUGGGUCGAAAGGCUCAAACCAAUGUGAAACUGUAGGUGGUCCCGGUUCGUCCGGGCCAUCGCACGAGCCAUAUUACCGGAGGGGUCCUCGCGAGGGUUCGGUCCCGGACUAGAGUCCGGUCGGACCCCGACCUCUCCGGCUAACAUGGGUCACCCUAACGGGAGUUCGAUGUUGGGACCCGGAGCCGUCUGUAGACGACUUAGGUACCGACGCGGGGUGUUGUACUCGGUAGAGCAGUUACCACGCUGCGAUCUGUUGAGACUUCUCCCCGGCUCGGUGGUUCGGCCUCUAC